CUACCUUCCAAAGGUAGCCUAAUAUUAGGUUCUGCACUAUAUCCUUAAUAUUUUUGCACCUGGCUCAUUUCUGUCAAUGAUCCUGUUGUAACCUCUUGACAGGAAAUUCAUCUCUCUCCCUCAUGUGGAUAUGUUUGCCCUCAACUAUGUUUUUUUCCAUGACUGCACUUCCUACCCAGAUGUCUGCUACUGUCAGUAGUGUCCUUUGUCUGUGCUUUUCCUUAUUGUGCUGCCAGCUGUCCAGACUCUUCCUGACUACUGCUCACAUUGUCUAGUGUCUCAGCUGCACAGUUUUUCCACUAAGCUAUCUUCUGUUUGCUGUGUCCUCGUCCAGUACCUGUGCUAAAGCUGCACAUUUUUUCCACUAAGCUAUCUUCUGUUUGUUGUGUUCUUGUCCAGUACCUGUGCUAAAGCUGCUCUGCUCCUUGAUGACUGCCAAUUAUUUGAGUGUCAGAAGAAUGAUUUAUCUCAAAUUUUUAUCCACAAAUUAUACAUUAAAAUGAGAAAGUAUUUCUUAUCUGAAAUUAUUUCAUGUAAUCAAACUAAGAGGGGUCCGACUUAGCAAGGUUUUACUGCAAUAUGAAUGUAACUCAAAAACUGUUCUAUCUGUGACAGACUGUGUUUGAAGUGUGGGAGCAGUAUGAGUUGGGAAAGCCACUUACUAUUCUACUGAGUGAACUGGAAAGGAAGUUGAAGUUUGUGUCUUCCCAGCGCCUCCCUUCUAAGUGUGCUCGCACCCGUAACAUUGAUGACAUGCUGACUAAAGGAAUGAAGAAACAUAUCUUGGGCUUGUGAUGGGGCAAGAAAAUGGUAUCACAAGUAUUCUGCAUAUGUGUGGUACAGAUUAACCAGUCUUCAAAGUUUCCUGCCUGCUCAGGACACCCUCCCUAAGUCAUUAUUGGAGAGGAUGACGAAAGUGACUCCUCCCAUUGGCCUAAGUAACUGAUCUGUGAUGUCAUAAACUGCUUCCCAAGUUUUGUGCAUCAACUGGACCAACAUCCUGCCUGCCCAGGAUAUCCUAAGCUCACUGUGAAGAGGACAACAAAAGUGUUUUGUUUAAGAUACUGUGGUCAGUUCAUUAGUUUCCCAAGUUACCAGGUACCAAUUGGACCAGCAUCCUGAUUGUGAUGCCCACGUUAGCUCACAAUUGAAGUGGCUUCUAAAUGGCCUAAAAAACUAUACUAAGUUAUAAAUUCUCCAAAGACUGUCUGGAGAUCUUAUGAAGAGUUUAUUAAAGAUUUUUUGGAAA